rnacentral:rRNA from 1 species
UACAGAGGUCCCGAGCGUUGUUCGGAUUCAUUGGGCGUAAAGGGUGCGUAGGCGGCGGGGAAAGUCUGAUGUGAAAUCCUGGGGCUCAACCCUGGAACUGCAUUGGAUACUUCCUUGCUAGAGUACUGGAGAGGAAACUGGAAUUUACGGUGUAGCAGUGAAAUGCGUAGAGAUCGUAAGGAAGACCAGUGGCGAAGGCGACGUUCUG